rnacentral:rRNA from 1 species
GAUGAACGCUGGCGGCGUGCCUAAUACAUGCAAGUCGAGCGAACAGACGAGGAGCUUGCUCCUCUGACGUUAGCGGCGGACGGGUGAGUAACACGUGGAUAACCUACCUAUAAGACUGGGAUAACUUCGGGAAACCGGAGCUAAUACCGGAUAAUAUAUUGAACCGCAUGGUUCAAUAGUGAAAGACGGUUUUGCUGUCACUUAUAGAUGGAUCCGCGCCGCAUUAGCUAGUUGGUAAGGUAACGGCUUACCAAGGCGACGAUGCGUAGCCGACCUGAGAGGGUGAUAGGCCACACUGGAGCUGAGACACGGACCAGACUCCUACGGGAGGCAGCAGUAGGGAAUCUGACGCAAUGGGCGAAAGCCUGACGGAGCAACGCCGCGUGAGUGAUGAAGGUCUUCGGAUCGUAAAACUCUGUUAUGAGGGAAGAACAAAUGUGUAAGUAACUAUGCACGGCUUGACGGUACCUAAUCAGAAAGCCACGGCUAACUACGUG